rnacentral:rRNA from 1 species
GAUGAACGCUGGCGGCGUGCCUAAUACAUGCAAGUCGAGCGAACGGACGAGAAGCUUGCUUUUCUGAUGUUAGCGGCGGACGGGUGAGUAACACGUGGAUAACCUACCUAUAAGACUGGGAUAACUUCGGGAAACCGGAGCUAAUACCGGAUAAUAUUUUGAACCGCAUGGUUCAAAAGUGAAAGACGGUCUUGCUGUCACUUAUAGAUGGAUCCGCGCUGCAUUAGCUAGUUGGUAAGGUAACGGCUUACCAAGGCAACGACGCAUAGCCGACCUGAGAGGGUGAUCGGCCACACUGGAACUGAGACACGGUCCAGACUCCUACGGGAGGCAGCAGUAGGGAAUCUUCCGCAAUGGGCGAAAGCCUGACGGAGCAACGCCGCGUGAGUGAUGAAGGUCUUCGGAUCGUAAAACUCUGUUAUUAGGGAAGAACAUAUGUGUAAGUAACUGUGCACAUCUUGACGGUACCUAAUCAGAAAGCCACGGCUAACUACGUG